rnacentral:rRNA from 1 species
UGGCUUCCGGAGCUAACGCGUUAAGUCGACCGCCUGGGGAGUACGGCCGCAAGGUUAAAACUCAAAUGAAUUGACGGGGGCCCGCACAAGCGGUGGAGCAUGUGGUUUAAUUCGAUGCAACGCGAAGAACCUUACCUGGUCUUGACAUCCACGGAAGUUUUCAGAGAUGAGAAUGUGCCUUCGGGAACCGUGAGACAGGUGCUGCAUGGCUGUCGUCAGCUCGUGUUGUGAAAUGUUGGGUUAAGUCCCGCAACGAGCGCAACCCUUAUCCUUUGUUGCCAGCGGUCCGGCCGGGAACUCAAAGGAGACUGCCAGUGAUAAACUGGAGGAAGGUGGGGAUGACGUCAAGUCAUCAUGGCCCUUACGACCAGGGCUACACACGUGCUACAAUGGCGCAUACAAAGAGAAGCGACCUCGCGAGAGCAAGCGGACCUCAUAAAGUGCGUCGUAGUCCGGAUUGGAGUCUGCAACUCGACUCCAUGAAGUCGGAAUCGCUAGUAAUCGUGGAUCAGAAUGCCACGGUGAAUACGUUCCCGGGCCUUGUACACACCGCCCGUCACACCAUGGGAGUGGGUUGCAAAAGAAGUAGGUAGCUUAACCUUCGGGAGGGCGCUUACCACUUUGUGAUUCAUGACUGGGGUGAAGUCGUAACAAGGUA